AAGAGAAGGAACUAGUCUUAAUUUAAAGAAGGGGUAUUCUACAUGGCCAGAAUAGCAACUGAAAAAGAGCACCUCCAUUCCCCUUACUCCAUGAAGAGACUGCUGCAAACAGAUUUGUUAGAACUCAAGGAGAGAUGAUCUCAUGUUCCCUCCCUUAGAAGAAUGCUCAUGCAAAUGGAAUGUGUGCGUAGAUAUUUGGAACAUUUAACCUAAUAUGUCAGCAAUUCUGGUGCUGUCUGUAGGCAGUGACGGCUGGCACAUUUUAAUACCUCCCUGUUACACUGCUCAUACAUCAACUCAUCACAACAGGAGCUCUCACAGCAUGAAGCAUCUCUCCAAGGCACGGAUGAGUUGACCACAAGAAAUGAGUGAAGACUUCCCUUUACUACCACCACCUUCUUUAUCCCUGGUGUUUCUGCUGAAGUUUCAUGUGGAAAAAUGAUCUACAAAUAAAUGAUCUCAUUGGAAUCAUGGUGUUGAACAUGACCCCUGCUCAGUGAGAGAUCCACUAAAUCACCUCUGACAGAUGACCAUCCAGCUUCUAUUUGAAGACCUACAACAAAAGAGAACUCAUUACUCCUUGUGGUAUCCUGUUCCACUAUCUGAUAGCUCAUACACUUAGAACUUUCUUUCUUCCUGAGGUCUAGUUGAACCUCCUUCCUUAUAGUUUUAACCCAAGGGUCAUGGUUCUACCCUUUGGGACAAUAUAGAUUAAGUCUACCCCUUCUUCUGUCUGGCAGCCCUUCAGAUAUAUGAAGAUAAGCUAUUAUAUUUCCAUUCAGUUGUCUCUUCUGUAGGCUAAACAUGUCCAGUUCCUUUAGCUGUUCCUCAUAGGGGUAGGUUUCCAGACACGUCACCAUCUUGGUAGCCCUCCUAUGAACUUGUUCCAAUUUGUCAACUUUUUUUUUUUUUACUUGUGUCCAAAACCAGGCAAACUCCUCCAAAUGGGCAGAGUAAAGUAGAACAAUUAUUGCCCAUGAUCUGGACUCUAUGCUUCUGUAAAUGCAUCCCAUCUGUGCAUCCAUCUUAAAUUUGUGCAUCCAAAUAAUUUUCUUAUUUGGGAUUUUGCAUAAAUAGAUUCCUUUCCACAUAGCUCCUAAAUCAACCUGGAGCUCCCCUGGAUUCCAGUACUGACUUUCAGCCCCUUUCCUAACACCAUUCCUGCUCUAUUCUGAUUCCUAGCCCAUGUUUACAUGCCCAGAGUUCUCCUUUUCUUAAUUUUGAAUCACCUUCUUGCUUGAUUUUUCUGGAGAUCUGAGUUGCCUUAUAUUCCUAGAGAAAAAGCUUUACUGUCUGUAAGACAUCAAUUGAGACCAAAACCUGGUUGUCUAUGUAAUGAUGCAAUCAUCUGUGAGCAUCCUGCUUUCUUUCCCCCUAUUGAUGCUCCAUCCCAUCAGUUUGAGCCUUUGCUGCAUUGAUCAAGAAGAUCUGAAGAUUUCUAUUUGCGUUCAAAUUCAUAAGCAACGAGCUUGCUUUAUCUUGGUCCAGGAACAGGAGGAACAUUCUGCACAUUCUUAAUUUUCAUCUUCAUCUUGUUGCUUAAUAUAGCAGAGGCUCAAAUUGAGAGUUUUAAUAUAGCAGAGUCUCAUAUUGAGAGUUUUAAUAUAGCAGAGUCUCAAAAGCAAGCUUGGCUCUGUCAUCCUAUGCUGCUUUAAAUCCUUGUUUGUUCAGACAACCUCCUGAGAAGGCUAAGGUUUUCUCUAUAUGAGUUAUUGGUGCUACAAAGGUGCCUGACUCAAGUAAAAACAUGUUAGUCACAUGCUUAAUUUUGAGAGUAACUUUUUAGUUAGUUCCUCUCUCUUGCCACCACUCCCUUCUGCUUUAGGUUAUAUUAUAAUGUGCAUUCGAGUUUUGAAGAAAGACCCAUUUGAAAAUAUUCCAUUUAAAUCCAACUUUUGCAACUAAGUGGCCAGCAUAAUCACUAGUUAAUAUGACCCAGUAAUAGUGCCCCGAACACUUGAACCAUCAUCCAAUUUUGAAAGGGUAGCCAGAAGUUGGGAGAUCUAAGAGUGGUAUGAUGCGUGCCCACUCUCUUUUCCCGAAUAUAUGAGACCAGCAAGGAAUAGCAACUAUGGACAAGGUAAUUAUAACCUGUGAUGUUCCCUUUUCUUACAGAGAUAUACAGCUUUUUAAUGACCAAGAGAUAUAAUUUCUUUUAUUUCUUUUUUUUAAGUUUUUGCCUCCAAAGGCUGCCAGGUAUGGCCAGUGGUGUUAUGAUUUCAUUUUUGAGCAAUGUUUAAAAGCCUUUUGAGGAGAUGUUAAGGAGCAAAAUGGGUAUCUUAACCCUCGCAGCAGCUUAAGGUACUCAUUUCAGCCCUAAAUCACUGCCCCCGAAUGGAAAAAGUCAUCCUGGUUUUUGGAGAGAUGUUGAGGGUUUAAGGAAUGAAAUAUGUGCCUUAAGUUUCUGCAAGAAUUUCAAACCUGCCCCAACCACCAAAAAAGUUUUGAAAAUCAUGCAAUUACCCAUUGCAGUGAUGCAUUUGAGGCUUAGAAAGGGCACUGGGGUCCACUGGUUGCCUAUGCCAACUCUACGUCUAUUUAUUCUCCUGAGACCCUCAUUUUGACCAACAUCUUACUUUUCAGUCAUAAUUUCCCAUAACCAUGACAUGCCAUUUCUAUAGAGAAGCCUUCUUCUCUGGAUUUGAUAUAGAUGGAUUGCCUAUAUAUGAAGACAGUUAGAACUAGUAUGCUCUUCCACAUUCAAGGUCAGUUGUUAUAUAAUAAGCCAUUUCUCUUUCUUUGCAACAUGUAUGUUAAAAUAUCCAUUUUUGUUGACUUGAGUGGUUGAAUGAGCCAUUUUCCCCUACUUUAUACAGCAAUUCCAAACACUGUGACUUGGUUCACACAUAAUGUCAAGCCGUAAUUUGGUUUCUAACACCCCACUAGGUGUUAGAAGGAGUGUGGCACAAGACAUGGUAUAUGGAAAGGUGUUACAUGAUCCGGCACACCCAUUGUUUGGCCAAGUACCUCCCACAAAAAGAUGGAAAUCAAGGAGGAGCUUUUUAGAUUGCGCCAAGGAGAUUGCUACCACACCUCAAACAGAAUGAUCAAAAAGAUGGAAAUCCCAAGCAAAAUAUCUUUACAAUUGGAUAGAAGUGCUUGAAGAGUUGCCUGGAGGUUUGGAGGAGGAGUGGAUGGUGUGGAGAUGUUUAAAUAGACUGUGCACUGGUUUGGGUAGAACUAAAGAUCAAAUGGAAAAAUGGG